AAUACUUGCCUGAACCUUCCCAAAAUAGGGAAAGCCACAGAAGACAGGUACAAAAAUAAUUCCUCUUUUACAAUCCAGAACUCAUUGUUCAAUAUGAACUUUGAUAAACACACAAAGGAAUAUG